ACAAGUACCCGUGAGGGAAAGUUGAAAAGCACUUUGAAAAGAGAGUGCAAGAGAACGUGAAAUCGAUAUAAUGGAAGCGAAUGAAGUCGACGUAUCUGGCACGUAUUCAGCGAAAGCGUUCGGUUGAUCAAUCGAUUGUUUUGUGUUGGUUUUUUACUGAGAUCACACAAGGCGGUUUGUUGUUGGUUGGCGUUUUUGUGCACUUGCGUGUGGAGUGCGACGAAUCGGUUGAUAUUGUCGGUGGAAAUUGUAGAAGAGGAUGGUUUUGGUUUCCUAAUCAUUUCCAAACCCUAAUGCAAUGAAAGCCUGAUUAAUGUUGUCCGUUUUUCAAUAAUAACGAACUGGACGAGUCGAAAUUUUCGGAUUUCACGGGUUUGUUAUUCGUCGUAUAGUCGAUCACUCAUUCGACCCGUCUUGAAACACGGACCAAGGAGUUUACAGUGCACGCGAGUUAUUGAGUUUUUUUCAACGAAACUUAAAAGCGUAAUGAAAGUGAAACAAUCUCGAAUUGUUUGAGCAUGAUCGGUUUUUUUUUAUGCGAAGAAAGUCGAGCAAUGCUGCCCCAUUCCGUGAACUUGUUCUGGUGUGGAGGCUGAGCGUGCGCAGUGAGACCCGAAAGAUGGUGAACUAUGCCUGAACAGGAUGAAGUCAGAGGAAACUCUGAUGGAAGUCCGAAGCGGUUCUGACGUGCAAAUCGAUCGUCUGAUUUUGGUAUAGGGCGAAGA
rnacentral:rRNA from 1 species